rnacentral:rRNA from 1 species
UACGUAGGGGCAAGCGUUGUCCGGAAUCAUUGGGCGUAAAGCGCGUGUAGGCGGUUCGGUAAGUCUGCUGUGAAAGUCCAGGGCUCAACCCCUGGGAUGCCGGUGGAUACUGGUCGGACUAGAGUACGGAAGAGGCGAGUGGAAUUCCCGGUGUAGGCGGUGAAAUGCGCAGAUAUCGGGAGGAACACCAAUUCGAAGGCAGCUCGCUGGGACGUUACUGACGCUGAGACGCGAAAGCGUGGGGAGCAACAGGG